CACAAUACGAUGACACUCAGGCCUGGAGCGCGAGGGUGGAGGAGUCUGCCGGGAGGAGCACGGCUCUGUCUCACCCUCUCCUUGAGGCCGGGCCUUGCAGCAAGAGAGGCCCGUGGUCGGGAGUCCAGCAGUCCUGCUUCAAAUCCUGUCCUGCCACCCCUGAGUCUGGAGGGAGAAAGAUGAAGGGAAGAGCAUGCAAGCUGCGGGAACAGCAUUGCCCAAGGCAAGAGGGUGUGAGUGGGCUCU
rnacentral:lncRNA from 1 species